CUCAUCUCCUUUUUUUUAAAGGUAAAAAAUCGUACAAGGUUUCCGUAGGUGACCUGCGGGAGGAUCAUU
rnacentral:rRNA from 1 species